UACGUAGGGUGCGAGCGUUGUCCGGAAUUAUUGGGCGUAAAGAGCUUGUAGGCGGUUUGUCGCGUCUGCUGUGAAAAUCCGGGGCUCAACCCCGGACUUGCAGUGGGUACGGGCAGGCUAGAGUGUGGUAGGGGAGACGUGGAAUUCCUGGUGUAGCGGUGGAAUGCGCAGAUAUCAGGAGGAACACCGAUGGCGAAGGCAGAUCGUCUGGGCCGUAACUGACGCUGAGACGCGAAAGCGUGGGGAGCGAACAGG
rnacentral:rRNA from 1 species